rnacentral:piRNA from 1 species
UGCCCUGAAUGAUAGUUUUCUGAAAGUG